CCACAGGACCCUGAGGCCUCACCAGGGAGGACGCCAUGUUCUCUCUGGGGAUUUUAGCUUUUGAGACAGAAGUCACAUUCUGCAUUUGGAAGUUGAACAUGGCUUUCAAAUGAGGGUGGGCUUUCUCACGGUCUGGUGCACACUCAGCUAGACUCCCCAGGUCUGCUGGAGUUUCCCUAUUUACAUUCUACAGUGCCAGGUGUCUUUAUCGUCGCGCGUUCGCCGUUCAGGAAACGCCACCACAGAGCACUGCUGGCUGGAAGACGGGCAGAAGAAAUACGGAGCGUCUGAUCUGCCAUCAACUUGUGUCACGCCCCAAAAUGGCCAAGAGAAACUGAAAGAAUGCCACAUCUCACAUGGACUCUGACACUGUGUGAGUCUUGUCCCAGCUGAUGAAGGGGAUAGGAUGGCUUAAGCUCAGACCUGGCCUUCAGAAGGAGCAUGUGCUUUGGUGACAGAAGACAUAAAUCUGAGAAAGUGAAGAAAUUGGGAUGCAAACGUCUAAGUCCCUCAAGAACAGGCUGAGUGGGCAAACCAGGAAGUGAAACCAAAUAUAAUCACUGUGAGAGCUGAGGGCAACGAAAGACACUUUAGAAUUAGUUGGAGUGCUAUUAACAUUUCGUUUAAAAGUCUAUUCCCCUGGCAACAUCAAUGUAAUCAGAGCCACACUAAGAGGGAUCUCUAGAGGGUUGAGUAAGUCUAAAUACAUGACGUGCAACACUGAACAUUUCUUAGCAACCAAAGUAAGUUGGAGCCUCAAUGACCUCCAGCCUUAGCCCUGGCCCUCACGGCGAAGAAGCAAAGGAAACAUGAGUACCCUGCCCAUAAAGCAAGUCUACUGCCAUUACAAGUAUGAAUAAAAAUCUAAGAAGGAAUGUCUGAAUUAAAUAAUCAGUGGCUACAAGUCAAUCUGAGUGUCCAUGUACAUGAGUACACACAUGGGAAACGUGCAAACCCCACGGCUAGUGAGAGUUCGGUAAACACCUGAUGCCUAUCUGCCAGGGCACGGCCACUGAGCCUGUUCUAAUUCCGCUGUGUUAGAGGAGACUGACAAGCUGGAGUAAAGCUUUAAUUGAAGUGCUUUAUCGAAAGACACAUGGAUAACGCAUGAUAGUGGUAUGUGAGAGGGCUCAGUGUGUAAAGGGGCUUGCUGCCAAGCCUGACGACCUGAGUUCAAGCCCUGGUCCCACAAGAUGGAAGGAGAAAAAUACUCCUGAAAGUUACCGUCUACCCCCACAUAUACCAAAGCACACACCUACACACACACACACGCAACAUGUAUUCGCACGCAUACACACACACAUCUUUUUAGAGCAGACCAGCCCAUUAGGCUACCUUUCCUCUAGGUACCCUCUCCCGUCUCUGUUGCCCCCCCAUCAGACAUCACACUUUCAUUUUAGGGCCUCAUAUUUUAGAGUUGUUUUGUUUUCAUUCUCUUGACGGGAGAAUUGGUUGGUGUUUGCUGAAUUACAGGCUGAGGGAGAAAAGGAAGCAAAUUGAUCUUUUGUCUCCCCUUAUGACACAUGAAAAGGUCAGGGAAGGUCAGAAACAAAGUGAGAAAGGGAAAGAGAUGAGGCCCAGCAACUAACUCUAAGAAUUCUAAGCACACAGAAUUCUAAGUCUGGGGAGCACCGCUUUCUUGAGUGGUUAUGUAAACCAUUGACUUGAAGGAAAAUGCAGUUUCAGCUGGAGAUCGGUGGUGGAUGCUUGCCUGACCAGCAAGUCCUGAGUUUGAUCCCCAACCAUGAAGGAAGAAGAUGGUCAGAAAGACACGUGGCUGGGGAAGAACACGAGCCUACUCCGACACCAAGUACCGAAUACAGAUUUGUACUGGGUUUUGUUCUGUUCUGGUACAGGGUCACACAUGGCUCUCCUGGCCUGAUGCUCCUGAUGCUCUCAGCAGGUCGCCAAAGCUGACCUUGAAUUUCUGACCCUCCUGGGAUUACAGAUUUAAGUCACCAAGCCAAAUUCGAAG